rnacentral:lncRNA from 12 species
CUCUGAUGCUGUGCAGAUGUCUAUGGAUGGAUGUUUUAAUGUCUAAUUUCUCCUUCAUUAAACCUCACAGGCUCUAAUAUGGAGUGUUUUUUUUUUAAUCCAAAAAUGCUCAAAUAUUCAGUAAGCAAACAUGCAUCAUUACAGCCCUGUAUUGGAGUGUGUGAUUGUAUAUUGCUUGUGUAGAGUGUCAAGCGUGCGUGCUGCACAUUGUGCCUGGAGAGAUUGAUGUUUUGUCAUCCACCUGCUUCUAAGCUGUAAAGGCAAGCGCAGCAAAGGCAAACCUACCCAGCUUCAAAAUCCAAACAAAGAAAUCUUAGUGGGCUGUUUACAUAUCUGUGCAAGGAUAUCUGUGCUUGUGUUGACGGGGUGCUAGAGUGGCUGAGAGAUCAGUCCCCGCACAAUGGACGAGUGGGAAAUCAAAGACUGGAAUGCUGGGAGAACACUGGAGAAAUUGACGAAGGGGUGAGCUCUGGAAAGGAGGACAGAUACUUCCUGUUCCUUCUGGAGUGACCCGCAGGUCUGAGGAGGAGUGAGGGAGAGGAAGGUGGAGAAAGUUAUUUAAAAAAUUCUUUCCAAGUACCCAGUGAAACCUGCUAAAGUACCCUCUGGUGUAAACAUACCCCUGGUUGGGAAUCAACGAUAUGAUGGACAAACAAGCACAAACUUGGCGAUAUCUGCAUCAAAUCUCCCAGAGCCGGGACGAGAGCAUCACUCACAGAUUUAUGAAGAAUCCAGAAAUGUGUCUCAUCAUUAUGAAGGAAGGUCUUUGACCAGUCCAACUCUUGGCAGGUGCAGAACACUAAAGGACCAUUUUAUUUCUAAAUUAGUCUGAAAGGCGCACCACAAAGACUGGAAAUGCUGCUGCCCUUUCAUUUUAAAUGGUACGUUGGCAUUUAACACUACACAUGUCAGCAGAACUUCACUCUCCAUUUAUGGCUUCUUAAUGUAUGUGUAUUUGUUCACUGCCACUUAUGAUAUUAGCUGUUGUCAUCUGCAGUGGAAAAGGACAUUGCAGAUAUGAAAAAGCAUUCUUGUGAUCAUAAAUGAAUUUGUAAACUACAUUCAUAAACUCCCACCUUUUUAUAUAGCCUCCUCCACUUUCCAGUAGCACAAAAUAAUCGACUUUUACACACAGAAAAAAAAAAAAAACUUAUAUAGAAAAAACUAUAGCACGUUACUGUAAUUGUUUUUCAUUUCCCCUCUUCCUUUCCUUUAAUCUUUUUUUUUUCUUUUACAAAAAGGUGACUGAUGUCACCUCUCUCCACUUGUCAAGUGUAAGAUGCUUUUAAAAUAAUUAAUUUUUUUUUAUAUUUA